rnacentral:rRNA from 1 species
AGAACCUCACCCAGGUUUGACAUGCAUGUGGUACUGAUGUGAAAGCUGAGGGACCCUUCGGGGAGCAUGCACAGGUGUUGCACGGCCGUCGUCAGCUCGUGCCGUGAGGUGUUGGGUUAAGUCCCGCAACGAGCGCAACCCCUGUCGCCAGUUGUAUUUUUCUGGCGAGACUGCCGAGAAAACCUCGGAGGAAGGAGGGGACGAUGUCAGGUCAGCGUGGCCCUUACGCCUGGGGCUACACACACGCUACAAUGGGUGGUACAACGGGCAGCCAAGCCGUGAGGCGGAGCUAAUCCCAUCAAAACCAUCCUCAGUUCGGAUUGUAGGCUGAAACUCGCCUACAUGAAGCCGGAGUUGCUAGUAAACGCAGGUCAGCAUUACUGCGUUGAAUACGUUCCCGGGCCUUGUACACACCGCCCGUCACGUCAUGAAAGUUGGUAACACCUGAAGCCGGUAGGCUAACCGCAAGGAGGCAGCCGUCGAGGGUGGGACCAGCGAUUGGGAC